UACAGAGGGUGCGAGCGUUAAUCGGAAUUACUGGGCGUAAAGCGCACGUAGGUGGCUUUGCAAGUCGAUUGUGAAAUCCCCGGGCUUAACCUGGGAACUGCAGUCGAGACUGCUUUGCUUGAGUAUGGGAGAGGGAGGUGGAAUUUCCGGUGUAGCGGUGAAAUGCGUAGAUAUCGGAAGGAACAUCAGUGGCGAAGGCGACCUCCUGGACCAAUACUGACACUCAAGUGCGAAAGCGUGGGGAGCAAACAGGAUUAGAUACCCUGGUAGUCCACGCCAUAAACGAUGAGAACUGGAUGUCGGAGGGGUCUGCCCUUCGGUGUCGUAGCUAACGCGUUAAGUUCUCCGCCUGGGGAGUACGGCCGCAAGGUUGAA
rnacentral:rRNA from 1 species